rnacentral:rRNA from 1 species
AGAGUUUGAUCCUGGCUCAGGACGAACGCUGGCGGCGUGCCUAAUACAUGCAAGUAGAACGCUGAAGUCUGGUGCUUGCACUAGACGGAUGAGUUGCGAACGGGUGAGUAACGCGUAGGUAACCUGCCUCAUAGCGGGGGAUAACUAUUGGAAACGAUAGCUAAUACCGCAUAACAGUAUUUACCGCAUGGUAGAUAUUUGAAAGGAGCAAUUGCUUCACUAUGAGAUGGACCUGCGUUGUAUUAGCUAGUUGGUGAGGUAACGGCUCACCAAGGCUUCGAUACAUAGCCGACCUGAGAGGGUGAUCGGCCACACUGGGACUGAGACACGGCCCAGACUCCUACGGGAGGCAGCAGUAGGGAUCUUCGGCAAUGGGGGGCAACCCUGACCGAGCAACGCCGCGUGAGUGAAGAAGGUUUUCGGAUCGUAAAGCUCUGUUGUAAGAGAAGAACUGUGAGAAGAGUGGAAAGUUUCUCACUUGACGGUAUCUUACCAGAAAGGGACGGCUAACUACGUGCCAGCAGCCGCGGUAAUACGUAGGUCCCCGAGCGUUGUCCGGAUUUAUUGGGCGUAAAGCGAGCGCAGGCGGUUUGAUAAGUCUGAAGUAAAGGCUGUGGCUUAACCAUAGUACGCUUUGGAAACUGUCAAACUUGAGGCAGAAGGGGAGAGUGGAAUUCCAUGUGUAGCGGUGAAAUGCGUAGAUAUAUGGGAGGAACACCGGGUGCGAAAGCGGCUCUCUGGUCUGUAACUGACGCUGAGGCUCGAAAGCGUGGGGAGCGAACAGGAUUAGAUACCCUGGUAGUCCACGCCGUAAACGACGUGAGUGCUAGGUUGUUGGGUCCUUUCCGGACUCAGUGCCGCAGCUAACGCAUUAAGCACUCCGCCUGGGGAGUACGACCGCAGGUUGAAACUCAAAGGAAUUGACGGGGGCCGCACAAGCGGUGGAGCAUGUGGUUUAAUUCGAAGCAACGCGAAGAACCUUACCAGGUCUUGACAUCCCGAUGACCGCCCUAGAGAUAGGGUUUCUCUUCGGAGCAUCCGGUGACAGGUGGUGCAUGGUUGUCGUCAGCUCGUGUCGUGAGAUGUUGGGUUAAGUCCCGCAACGAGCGCAACCCCUAUUGUUAGUUGCCAUCAUUCAGUUGGUGCACUCUAGCGAGACUGCCGGUAUAAACCGGAGGAAGGUGGGGAUGACGUCAAAUCAUCAUGCCCCUUAUGACCUGGGCUACACACGUGCUACAAUGGCUGGUACAACGAGUCGCAGUCGGUGACGGCAAGCUAAUCUCUUAAAGCCAGUCUCAGUUCGGAUUGUAGGCUGCAACUCGCCUACAUGAAGUCGGAAUCGCUAGUAAUCGCGGAUCAGCACGCCGCGGUGAAUACGUUCCCGGGCCUUGUACACACCGCCCGUCACACCACGAGAGUUUGUAACACCCGAAGUCGGUGAGGUAACCUUUUAGGAGCCAGCCGCCUAAGGUGGGAUAGAUGAUUGGGGUGAAGUCGUAACAAGGUAGCCGUAUCGGAAGGUGCGGCUGGAUCACCU